rnacentral:rRNA from 1 species
UACGUAGGGUCCGAGCGUUGUCCGGAAUUAUUGGGCGUAAAGGGCUCGUAGGCGGUCUGUUGCGUCGGGAGUGAAAACUUACAGCUUAACUGUGAGCGUGCUUUCGAUACGGGCAGACUUGAGGCAUUCAGGGGAGAACGGAAUUCCUGGUGUAGCGGUGAAAUGCGCAGAUAUCAGGAGGAACACCGGUGGCGAAAGCGCGAGACUGGGCCAUAACUGACGCUGAGGAACGAAAGCCAGGGGAGCGAAAGGG